UGAGGAAUAUUGGUCAAUGGGUGCAAGCCUGAACCAGCCAUCCCGCGUGAAGGACGACUGCCCUAUGGGUUGUAAACUUCUUUUGUAUAGGGAUAAACCUACCCUCGUGAGGGUAGCUGAAGGUACUAUACGAAUAAGCACCGGCUAACUCCGUGCUAGCAGCCGCGGUAAUACGGAGGGUGCAAGCGUUAUCCGGAUUUAUUGGGUUUAAAGGGUCCGUAGGCGGACUUAUAAGUCAGUGGUGAAAGCCUGUCGCUUAACGAUAGAACUGCCAUUGAUACUGUAAGUCUUGAGUAUAUUUGAGGUAGCUGGAAUAAGUAGUGUAGCGGUGAAAUGCAUAGAUAUUACUUAGAACACCAAUUGCGAAGGCAGGUUACCAAGAUAUAACUGACGCUGAGGGACGAAAGCGUGGGGAGCGAACA
rnacentral:rRNA from 1 species